UAAUACGGGGGGUGCGAGCGUUGUCCGGAAUCACUGGGCGUAAAGGGCGCGUAGGUGGUUUGAUAAGGGUGUGGUGAAAGUCCGGGGCUCAACCCCGGAUCUGCCGUGCCGACUGUCAAACUCGAGGACUGUAGAGGCAGACGGAAUUCCGGGUGUAGCGGUGGAAUGCGUAGAGAUCCGGAGGAAGACCGGUGGCGAAGGCGGUCUGCUGGGCAGUUUCUGACACUGAGGCGCGACAGCGUGGGGAGCAAACAGGAUUAGAUACCCUGGUAGUCCACGCCGUAAACGAUGGAUGCUAGCCGUUGGCAGGCUUGCCUGUCAGUGGCGCAGCUAACGCAUUAAGCAUCCCGCCUGGGGAGUACGGUCGCAAGAUUA
rnacentral:rRNA from 1 species